CAUGCAAGUCGAGGGGUAACAGGGAUUGCUUGCAAUCCGCUGACGACCGGCGCACGGGUGCGUAACGCGUAUGCAACCUACCUUCUACAGGGGGAUAGUCAAUAGAAAUGUUGAAUAAUACCCCAUACGAUCUUUGAAUAGCAUUAUUUAAAGAAGAAAGUUCCGGCGGUAGAAGAUGGGCAUGCGUCCUAUUAGUUAGUUGGAGAGGUAACGGCUCCCCAAGACAUCGAUAGGUAGGGGUCCUGAGAGGGAGACCCCCCACACUGGUACUGAGACACGGACCAGACUCCUACGGGAGGCAGCAGUGAGGAAUAUUGGACAAUGGAGGCAACUCUGAUCCAGCCAUGCCGCGUGCAGGAAGACUGCCCUAUGGGUUGUAAACUGCUUUUAUACAGGAAGAAAUAUACCUACGUGUAGGUAUUUGACGGUACUGUACGAAUAAGGAUCGGCUAACUCCGUGCCAGCAGCCGCGGUAAUACGGAGGAUCCAAGCGUUAUCCGGAAUCAUUGGGUUUAAAGGGUCCGUAGGCGGUCUUUUAAGUCAGAGGUGAAAUCCUACAGCUCAACUGUAGAAUUGCCUUUGAUACUGAAGGACUUGAGUUAUUGUGAAGUAGUUAGAAUGUGUGGUGUAGCGGUGAAAUGCAUAGAGAUCACACAGAAUACCGAUUGCGAAGGCAGAUUACUAACAAUAUACUGACGCUGAGGGACGAAAGCGUGGGUAGCGAACAGGAUUAGAUACCCUGGUAGUCCACGCCGUAAACGAUGGAUACUAGCUGUUCGACCAACAUU
rnacentral:rRNA from 1 species